rnacentral:rRNA from 1 species
UCUCCUGGAAACGGGUGGUAAUACCGGAUGCUCCGCUCCAUCGCAUGGUGGGGUGGGAAAUGCUUUUGCGGCAUGGGAUGGGGUCGCGUCCUAUCAGCUUGUUGGCGGGGUGAUGGCCCACCAAGGCGUUGACGGGUAGCCGGCCUGAGAGGGUGACCGGCCACAUUGGGACUGAGAUACGGCCCAGACUCCUACGGGAGGCAGCAGUGGGGAAUAUUGCACAAUGGGCGCAAGCCUGAUGCAGCGACGCCGCGUGCGGGAUGGAGGCCUUCGGGUUGUAAACCGCUUUUGUUCAAGGGCAAGGCACGGUUUCGGCCGUGUUGAGUGGAUUGUUCGAAUAAGCACCGGCUAACUACGUGCCAGCAGCCGCGGUAAUACGUAGGGUGCGAGCGUUAUCCGGAUUUAUUGGGCGUAAAGGGCUCGUAGGCGGUUCGUCGCGUCCGGUGUGAAAGUCCAUCGCCUAACGGUGGAUCUGCGCCGGGUACGGGCGGGCUGGAGUGCGGUAGGGGAGACUGGAAUUCCCGGUGUAACGGUGGAAUGUGUAGAUAUC